rnacentral:misc_RNA from 1 species
GAAACGCGAUAAGUAGUGUGAAUUGCAGAAUUCAGUGAAUCAUCGAAUCUUUGAACGCACAUUGCGCCCUUUGGUAUUCCAAAGGGCAUGCCUGUUCGAGCGUCAUUUGUACCCUCAAGCUUUGCUUGGUGUUGGGCGUCUUGUCUCUAGCUUUGCUGGAGACUCGCCUUAAAGUAAUUGGCAGCCGGCCUACUGGUUUCGGAGCGCAGCACAAGUCGCACUCUCUAUCAGCAAAGGUCUAGCAUCCAUUAAGCCUUUUUUUCAACUUUUGACCUCGGAUCAGGUAGGGAUACCCGCUGAACUUAAGC